rnacentral:rRNA from 1 species
CCUACGGGUGGCAGCAGUGGGGAAUAUUGCACAAUGGGGGAAACCCUGAUGCAGCGACGCCGCGUGAGUGAAGAAGUAUUUCGGUAUGUAAAGCUCUAUCAGCAGGAACGAGACAAGCCGGUACCGGACUAAUAAGCCCCGGCUAAAUACGUGCCAGCAGCCUCGGUAAUACGUAGGGGGCAAGCUUUAUCCGGAAUCACUGGGUGUAACGGGAGCGUAGACGGCUGAGCAAGCCUGAAGUGAAAGGCGGGGGCCCAACCCCUGGACUGCUUUGGAAACUGUACGGCUGGAGUGCAGGAGAGGUAAGUGGAAUUCCUAGUGUAGCGGUGAAAUGCGUAGAUAUUAGGAGGAACACCAGUGGCGAAGGCGACUUACUGGACUGUAACUGACGUUGAGGCUCGAAAGCGUGGGGAGCAAACAGGAUUAGAUACCCCUGUAGUC